ACCACUUUAGUUUCAUCUAAUCAUUUCAAAAAGCAAAAUACUUUAUCCACACUGAUAAUGUGACAUCUAUUUCAGAUGUACAUUUACUUUAUACAAAUUUCUUAACUAACCUAACUUCCACAUUUUUUAGCCAGUUGUGGAAUUUUCUUACAGAUUUCUUCACCAGUUUGUUCAGGAAGGACUGUAUUGUAUGUUUUUCAUUUAAUCCGUUCCAUAAAUCAGGAUCCUUUCUCCCAGAUGGAGUGUUCCCUGCUGAAAGCACCCACUACCAUGAUGCAGAGUGGUGGAAUUGCUUCGGAAGGUGCUUCAGAUAUACUUGCUAUAUGAACAAGUGAUGAAGCAAAUGAUUAUGGGGAGACUCAAAGGCAAGCUGUGUACAUUGUCUCACCAGUCCCCCACGAAGAGACAGCUGCUGUUGCUGUUACAAUUACAUUUUGUAGUUGUCAUUGUUGGUGUUCUUCAUUUGAUUCUUAUUGAACAGAAGUGACAGUUUGAUUUCACUUGCUUUUUAAAUGAAAAGCUCAUCCAAUGUAUCCUGCAGGAGAUAGUUUAAUAAAUCUGAAGAA